UCACUUAGAAAAAGUAGAUGCAGACGACGGGAUUUCAAGGUUAAUGGCGGAUUUUGUUUACACAAUUUACAGGGAAGUCCCCCUUGGAAACUGGAACAGGAAGCAACAUGUGCAGGAAGUAUCGCAAAUUAACCGACUUUUCAAUUUUCAUUUGACUUGCUGAAAAAAUUGAAAGUGGAUAGUUAUUGGUGGAAAAGUUUCAUGUGAGACUGCAAGGGAAAGAGCCACAUGCUGGAAUUCUUCAAUCUCUUCUUUUUAUGGGAAGUCAUUAAAAAAUCAGUAAGGAAGAAAUUUCCAAAUGCUGACUCCAUUGCUUCUUGGUUAAAAGGAAAAAACACGUGACGUGAACGAAUGAAACAACAAAACAAGACGUUGUAAACAUUUUCACCAAAUUAAAUUUCCUCAAAUUAAUUCAUUUUACUCUUUUAAUUAUCUAUUUCACUAUACCAAGACGAAUAACAAUCGAACAAUUGAAGUAAUUUUUAUGUGAUAAUUAUUAGAAUCAACUUUUUCAAAAAUGGAAACAAAAGAAAAGGCGGGAAUAUUCGAAAUUUUUAUUUUUAACAAUGUUUCUCAUUGAAUUGAUUUUAGAUUGGCGAUUUAGGAUAAUUAUCUGGGACGAAAGUUGAGCUGUAAGAAAACUAAAAAUAAUCCAGAGUGAACGAGCAUACUGCGGAAUGCCGGAAUCAACCCAGAAAAAGUGUCGUCGUACCACGUCGUACCUGCCAACUAUUGCAAUGGACACACUAAUUCAGAAACAAGAAAUUUAAGUUAUGCAAACUCUUUUGCUGCCAGAACAACGGUCUUCAUUUUUUUGUAAAUUAUUGAUUGAAACAGAAACUGAUUUGCCCUUAGUAAUUCUCCAACCACUGCAAUUAACUAAAAAAGGAAGCACUGCAAUAACAAACGCUAAAUCGUAACCGGUACGUCUAAAACAAACAUUUCAAUGUGGUCUCGGGAUUGGCCUGUUCUCGAAUGGAUCCCUGGCUCCAUAAUAUUCCAUUGAAUAAAUUUGAUUUUGCUGCUGAUGAGGCAUGGUGACACGAUAAUAUGGUUGAAAAUGCGGCUGGAUUCCAUACGUCCGGAAUGACAAAUACGGAUGGAUCGAAAUGGGAGCAGCUUCGACGAUCCCGACUCCCAACAAAA
rnacentral:lncRNA from 1 species